AGUGGGGAAUAUUGCACAAUGGGCGCAAGCCUGAUGCAGCCAUGCCGCGUGUAUGAAGAAGGCCUUCGGGUUGUAAAGUACUUUCAGCGAGGAGGAAGGCAGUCGUGUUAAUAGCACGAUUGAUUGACGUUACUCGCAGAAGAAGCACCGGCUAACUCCGUGCCAGCAGCCGCGGUAAUACGGAGGGUGCAAGCGUUAAUCGGAAUUACUGGGCGUAAAGCGCACGCAGGCGGUCUGUCAAGUCGGAUGUGAAAUCCCCGGGCUCAACCCGGGAACUGCAUUCGAAACUGGCAGGCUAGAGUCUUGUAGAGGGGGGUAGAAUUCCAGGUGUAGCGGUGAAAUGCGUAGAGAUCUGGAGGAAUACCGGUGGCGAAGGCGGCCCCCUGGACAAAGACUGACGCUCAGGUGCGAAAGCGUGGGGAGCAAA
rnacentral:rRNA from 1 species